AGGAUGGAUUUAUUUUUUAUUCAUUUCUAAAUUCAUUUCCUCGUGGGUUAGGAUGAAACUUGUGAAGUCUGUGGAGGACGAUGAGGUGCGUCAUCAUUUCUGAGAAUGCCCUGCGCUGUGGUCCGCUUCCUACUUUUGGAGCGGUGUCGUGUCCGGUUGGAGUUCAUAUUCGGACCACAGCAGAGUUCCCUUCAACAGAACCGAGACCGAGCUAAAUAAGCUGUCAGUCAUGAACAAGGACAAACUGAGGGAAACAUUAUAGAAACUCCAAGACAGACUUUUAUGGUGCUGUAUGAUAAUGUUUGAUUUGAAUCGUAUCAUUCAGUUUAAAUGUACUUCCUUUCAUUUUGCAAAUUGAUUGUUUUCAUAUUUUAUUAUGUUUCAGCCACUAAGAUGAAUGCAUUUCAUUGGGAUUUCCUGACAGACCAGAAUGAUGUACACAACCUUUCACAGUGGUAGCCAUAAAUGAAUCCAGUACAGUUUAAGAAAUCAGCUAAUUAGUAAAUAGAGUCCAGUUGUGUAUAAUUUAUUCUCAGAACAAAUGUUGCUGUUCGGUGAAGGAGAAUAUUAGAAUAAGAAAACAUUGUUUAUUCAAAUCCAGCUCUUCUUAUUUCUGUAAAUAAUUAAAACACAGCUAAUUUUUAGUGUUUGUGUAAUUUAUGGAACAUAAAUGUGGCAAAA